CGCUCCGUAAUUUUAACUUUUCAAAACAAGAAAAGUAUUAAUUUAAUGAAUAUAAUAUAAUUAUUUUUAUUAAAAUAUAUGCACUCUACAGUGAGUGUCCACUAAACUGUACUACACAUUGGUACCUGAGCAAAGACGAUCAUCGCUCCACAUUGCUACGUACAAAGUUUAGCGCAUGUUUUAGCGUCGAAGCCAGCUACUACGUGAUAUGUUGUUACAGCCGACUUCUCUCGACUUACCACCAGAAUUUUGGCCAAACUGCUUUUCUGAAACAUUGCAGUGGUGCUACUUAAAAUGGGAUACGACAGGGCGCACAACUGAUCGGGAGACAGAUCGAGAUGAAGCGAAAAUCCACGCAUCUGAAGCAUUGAGGACAAGAGACACCUAGUUAAAAAAAUUUGGAAAAUUUUAUAUAUUCCAAGACAUAGCAACCAGUCUAAUCAUGAACACUUCGUUAUCAACACAACAAAAAUUGUCUGAUUAUCCUAAAUGCAAUUGCCAAAAUCUAUCUGUUACUACUACUACUACAUCUAUUAUAAA